UACGGGGGGAGCGAACGUUGUUCGGAAUCACUGGGCGUAAAGGGCGUGCAGGCGGCCCUGUAAGUGGGAUGUGAAAUGCCCUGGCUUAACCAGGGAACUGCAUCCCAGACUGCAGGGCUUGAGUACAGGAGAGGGUGGGGGAAUUCCCGGUGUAGCGGUGAAAUGCAUUGAUAUCGGGAGGAACACCAGUGGCGAAGGCGCCCACCUGGCCUGAUAUUGACGCUCAGGCGCGAAAGCUAGGGGAGCAAACAGG
rnacentral:rRNA from 1 species